rnacentral:siRNA from 1 species
UGGUUCAUUUCAAUGAGUACCA